CUCCCCGUUGCUGACCCCAGGUUCGAUAGCGCCAUUUAGGCGCCACCUCGCCAAGAACCAGCUUCGGUGAAGCGACGGGCGGUGUGUGCAAGGAG
rnacentral:rRNA from 1 species